AAUACGAAGGGACCUAGCGUAGUUCGGAAUUACUGGGCUUAAAGAGUUCGUAGGUGGUUGAAAAAGUUGGUGGUGAAAUCCCAGAGCUUAACUCUGGAACUGCCAUCAAAACUUUUCAGCUAGAGUUUGAUAGAGGAAAGCAGAAUUUCUAGUGUAGAGGUGAAAUUCGUAGAUAUUAGAAAGAAUACCAAUUGCGAAGGCAGCUUUCUGGAUCAUUACUGACACUGAGGAACGAAAGCAUGGGUAGCGAAGAGGAUUAGAUACCCUCGUAGUCCAUGCCGUAAACGAUGUGUGUUAGACGUUGGAAAUUUAUUUUCAGUGUCGCAGCGAAAGCGAUAAACACACCGCCUGGGGAGUACGACCGCAAGGUUAAAACUCAAAUGAAUUGACGGGGACCCGCACAAGUAGUGGAGCAUGUGGUUUAAUUCGAAGAUACGCGCAGAACCUUACCAACACUUGACAUGUUCGUCGCGACUUUAAGAGAUUAAAGUUUUCGGUUCGGCCGGACGAAACACAGGUGCUGCAUGGCUGUCGUCAGCUCGUGUCGUGAGAUGUUGGGUUAAGUCCCGCAACGAGCGCAACCCUCACUUUUAGUUGCCAUCAUUAAGUUGGGCACUCUGAAAGAACUGCCAGUGAUAAGCUGGAGGAAGGUGGGGAUGACGUCAAGUCCUCAUGGCCCUUACGUGUUGGGCUACACACGUGCUACAAUGGUAUCUACAACAGGAAGCAAGACGGCGACGUUAAGCAAAUCCCUAAAAGAUACCUCAGUUCGGAUUGCACUCUGCAACUCGAGUGCAUGAAGCUGGAAUUACUAGUAAUCGUGGAUCAGCGUGCCACGGUGAAUGCGUUCCCGGGUCUUGUACACACCGCCCGUCACACCAUGGGAGUUGGUUCUACCUUAAGGCAAGGUUUUAAACCCUUGACCACGGUAUAGUCAGCGACUGG
rnacentral:rRNA from 1 species